rnacentral:lncRNA from 1 species
AAUUCCUCCGGCGUAGUGUAGAAAGAGCCUGAAUCGCUUGUUCUAAAGAGGCAAAUACUUUAAACAAAGAUUCCCCUCUACAAAUCCCUGAGCGCAGAGCAUAGAGCUUUCGUGGUUUACCGUAGAAUUUAUUUUACAGACCGAGUGGGAGGAGAAACUCAAACCAAAGAGCUUUCCUUUGGAAGUGCUGACAAGGAAAGGAGAAGACUUACCCGAAGAGGUGGACCCUACAAAGAAAGAGUUACAUCUUGAGGACGCUGAAUUUGAACGUCUCUUCAAAAUGUCUAAGAAACAAUGGGAAACUUAUCCGCAAUGGAAGAAAAACCAAGAGAAGAAAAAACUUGACUUGUUCUAGACAAAGGACGCCCUGUCAUUAAUUUAACUAAUAUAAUGCAUUUUUCUCAUCUUUAGUCCAUCCAUUUGUUAGGGGAGGGGGAGGUAACGAUGACGUAAUUGAUCCAUUACCGUAAACUGCUGCUUCCAAGCCCUGGACUUAUGCAACUUUCUUAAAGUUUUUAGAUGGGCUUAUAAACGGAGGGGCUUAUAACCGGAAUUAAGAAAACUGUUUCGAAUCGAGCGAUGGCUGCACAUGUUGGUCAAGGUAGUUUUACAUUGACGGGUAAUUAAGCCUCAAAACGUCAUAAUAAAACGAAUUGAAAACAAAGAAAGCUAUUGGGGGCUUAUAAGCGGUAGUUAACGGUAUUGUAAUAGCUUUUUAACACUGGCUAGUCUUUGAAGGCGCUAGCAAUAAGUUAUAACAAUGACACGGUAUAUUAAACUACUAGGUAGAGCUAUUCUAAAAAGAAUGUAGAAGUUUUUCGCAGACUACCUCAAUAUAUAUUGGGUGGCAAAAUUUUUUGGCUAAACACUUUGCAUAAUUGGCAAGAACAUAUUUUUAAGUGUUUUAACUAAAUUAAUGAACCAAAGCAGUAAUAUUUUGCUAGGCAUUUCAAUUUGAAUUUCAAUGUAAUGGUAUCACAGUGCACACUAGGUCCCGGAUUUAAAAUAUUUAAGUGUGUGUGACCGUUCGCGGUAGUAUUUGGGUUGUCACGUACCGCUGCUUCCCAAUGAAUUGCGUGACAACUCAAGGCGGCUUUAGCGCUUUUAAUGCGACUGAUGGGACAAGUUCUGUUUUCGCUAAAAGAUUCGAGUCAGCGGUCGAUUUAUGGGCUUAUGCCCAGUUUGAUUGAACGGUUUACCCUGCGCUUAAAUUUGUUCGUUGUGUAGCUCGACAGUACUCGCGAAGAAUCGGAAAGUGUUUCAACGAAGAUUCAACGAAGAUUUGCCGAAGACGGAGCUUGUUCCCUCAGCUGCAACAGUGUUGGACGAAAGUCGCAAUGAAUUUAAUAUUGUACACAAAUAGGCUUUAGUAUUUAUAUAUGUCUUAUUACGUGUGUGUAGAGAAUCAUUUACUUAGGUUAGGCAGCAAACAAGUUAUUUCAUUAGGCAAUAGCUGUAUCCCUACCCCAGUCUCCCCCUCGUCUUCAUAGCUUCACGGUAGGGGGUUAUGACGAAUGGCUGAAGGUUAAGACCCGGAUGUUGCCGGUCACUGCAUCACCGUUGUGGUGGGAAAAUUGCAAUAUUCUUAGAUGUUUUUCUAACAAUUAAAAGAUUCUGAAAAGAGA